ACCUGGCCAUUUAAACUAGUUAUAAAAGAAUGACUGAUUUAAUGCUGAUAAAAUGAAAUGAUAACUGCAUGCUAGUCGGCGAAGGAGCAUAAGGAGAAUCUUCAACGUGCGUUAGAAUUUCACAAGGAGAAAAAGACGCAAAGUCAAACUCGACAGCAACACCGUGGAUGAAGAAAUUCUGUUAAAAAAGUGUAGAAUUGAGAACGACGCCAUAACCAUUGACGAUAACGAUGAUUCGUCAAGCUAGACGGAAAGCGAUGUUGAGAUUUUUAUUGCUGUUUAAAGUACGAUGUAUCGUAAAUACACGUAUUCACCGGUACAAACAUUUUAUAUAGUGCCUACACUAAUUUCGUCUAAAUGCCAAUGUUAAAAUUCUUUUGUUCUACAUAAAUUUUUAAUCAUUUUUGUGAAUGUUAUUCUUGUCUAUAUAGCCAAUAAGCGUAAUUUUUACCGCUUUUUUAAUCGCGCGCCUGACGUUAAUAUGGCGCGCGAUACGCCGCGCCUGCCCAAAUACUUACGGCCAGGCCUGGGUAUAAUAUAAUCCCAUAUACGUUUGUCACUUACAAUAAUGUCCACUUCAUCAACAAAAUACCCUGCUUUCAUGAUGAAACAUUUGGCCACAGGGCACAGGCAUAAACAGAGUCGUCCUACGCAUACUACACGCUAUAGUCUGAAAUUAUACCCAAAACACAGUUUAGGCAGUUAGAUACAUGCCACAUGCUUCUGCGUUCAUCGACCACAAUUUUAUUGUAUAUAGCUACAGUAUAUGCUCAUAUUAUGUUACUACUACCCGCGUACAUAACAUAUUUUGCUUGAAAGCAGCUACAUUUGCGCCCAUUCCUCGAUAUGGCCAGUCAAAUUAUGCCAGUCUCGCAGAAUACUCUCAUCUUAUACUCUAACUCCUUGUGGUGAGGUAUAUUCCUGUUUUGUUUUGUUUUGUUUUCCCCAUGAAACACAUUUGUAAGAUUGUACUGAUAUAUCAUUUGCCUGAUACCGAAGAGGUAAAUAGACUUCAUUACUCUGUAACUCAAUUUAAGAUGCCCUAAAACUGUAGCGCUAGCCGGCAGCUACAAGCCAAUUUGAAGCAUGCAUAGCAAACAAUAUGACGCUAUACAUAAAUCUCUAGGUUAUAAUAUAUAUACAUGUACUGUACCAACUACUGUGUCUGUGAGUAGUGUAUGUCACCUAAUCAUAUAUCUCAAAUCUCAAUCAAGAAUAAAUUUACAAACAACCACAUAACUUCAGCCACGACACCAUACUCCAUAUAAAUAUCUUAUAUACACUAGAUAUCUAUGCACGACACGCGUGUAUGGAUCGUUAUCCAAGAUAUACCAUACACGCGCAUUAUACAUACAUGCCCUUACUAUAUAUACAAUGGUCUACUCUCCAAACCCGGUGAAAACCCAAGAAAUCCAUUAACCAAAUACUGCCUACAAAAGAUUGCACAACGCAAAAUCCCAAACUCGUGUAUCUAUAGACUAUAUAAGGUUUAAAAUUACAAACUGGCAGAGGAAAUACUGCUAGUGAAAGAAUUUAAAGAUCGUCGGUUUCUCAGUUCUCGCUCAUUCAGGAAUGCUCAGUUACCUCAGUACAGAUUUAAUUAACCCCACUGUAGAGGAAACAUUUCCUGCCACGCUCGGUAUUUGGACGCGGCAGAGCACAUUCGCUGGUGGAGGUAUAUGCAGCUAGGUUAGACGAUUUAUACUGACAUUCCGCUUUCAUGGGUUUCCGUAUAUUUCUCUCUGGAAUGCUUGGAAAUUGCGCAGCCGAGAUUUCGAAAAUUUAAUAGUAAAUAUAUAGAAAGCACCAAAAUUGCUUGCACGCCAUGACGUCAUAUAACUGUAAAAUACGACAUAUAUAUUCUCCUGUACAAAAACCCCAGUCUCACAAAAUAUGUCAACAGCGAUCUUCGCAUUUUAUACCACAAAUCAAAUAGCACGCGCUAUAAUAAUUGCAAUACUACUGCAUGACAUCAUGAUCACCUGCAUUUGCAUGGCGUUUUACAAAACCCAGUACUGUACAUAGUAGGUACUUAUAUAGCGUACCAAAAUGAAAAGGUUUACGGCAUAUUUCACCAGAUCAAGACAAUUCCUAAUACUAUACACUGUUAUUUCCGAGGUUAUUUCCUAUUUUAUGCCAUCGCGUAUACACCCCACAUGCAAUUCGAACUAAACAUACUUCACAGUUCACUACAGUGUAUCACACGCCGAGACAAAGCCAAAUCUAGGGGUAGUAGAGCACUCGCAUUCCACUACAAAUUUAUUCAUCGCGCAUUGAAACCACUAUUAUCGGUCAGCUCAUGAUUACACAGAGCAGUUUUUGCUUUUCUCCGCCUCUCUUUUAGUCAUUCUGCUACAAACGAAGGAAGGACACGAAGAAGAUCUCAGGAUUUGCGCCAUCUUGGUUUCCCGCCUUCCAUCACCUAUCUGGAUCACUCCUAUACGUCCUAGUGGCUAUGAACUCUCUACGUAUAUAUGAACUAUUUAUGACAUAAUCUACAUUUUAUUACCUGAACUAUAUAUAUGUAUUGUCCACUGUGCGGUGGCGUUCUGCUUUGGAUUGCGACAAAUUAAUUCUGAUCGUUUAGUUCCCUUAUUUAUGCUCAAAAGCGUAGUUUCAUAACAAAAAAAAAAGAAAAGAAAAAGAAAACAAACCAAAAACAAUAAACAAAUAACGCUUAGUGGUGUCUAGCGCGAUACUGACAUUUCCUAAUUUUGUAAAGAUAAAGCUAUGUGGGGAGCUGCUGGUGGUCUUGGCCCUACCCAGGUUUUCCUGUACUGCAGGUUUUUUCCUGGCCUCCCUGAUUAUCCAGCCGUAGCAUAAGUGUUUGUAUCUCGUGGACACCAUAUAUCUUAUUUGCGCAGCACGCCAUCAUUGCAUACUAUAAAACACACAUCUGUACCAUACUAUAAAUACUUCAUAUUAACUAUUUAUAAUUUUUUCCCGACCAACAUGCUUCACGUGGGGGAUCUACACUUUGUUUCGAUCAAUGGCGGAAAGUGGUGUCCACACGGCCACACUUCGCCCACGGUGAAGCACACACCGGCAAAAGAGAGCAAGGUCCAUAACGGCGGGGGCCCUUACCCUCGUCCUGAUCUUCGCAUCUCUCGGUCACUUCACCACGGGGAAGCCCGGCUCGGACAUGAGAUUCAAUGUCCAUAACGGUGAGGGCCCUUACUCUCACCCUGAUGUUGUUUCUCCAGCUUUUCUGGGGGCCCUUACCACCAAGAAACCGCACUUUCCGUCACCCAAUUUGGCCACAAAGGAUUUGCGUGA
rnacentral:lncRNA from 1 species